rnacentral:rRNA from 1 species
GAUGAACGCUGGCGGCGUGCUUAACACAUGCAAGUCGAACGAAGCGAAUUUAUUGGAUCUUUCGGGAAAAGAUAAAUUUGACUUAGUGGCGGACGGGUGAGUAACGCGUGGGUAACCUGCCCUGUACAGGGGGAUAACAGUUAGAAAUGACUGCUAAUACCCCAUAAGCGCACAGUGUCGCAUGACACAGUGUGAAAAACUCCGGUAGUACAGGAUGGACCCGCGUCUGAUUAGCUAGUUGGUGAGGUAACGGCCCACCAAGGCAACGAUCAGUAGCCGGCUUGAGAGGGUGAACGGCCACAUUGGGACUGGGACACGGCCCAAACUCCUACGGGAGGCAGCAGUGGGGAAUAUUGCACAAUGGGCGAAAGCCUGAUGCAGCGACGCCGCGUGAGUGAUGACGUAUUUCGGUAUGUAAAGCUCUAUCAGCAGGGAAGAUAAUGACGGUACCUGACUAAGAAGCCCCGGCUAACUACGUGCCAGCCGCCGCAGUAA